rnacentral:rRNA from 1 species
UUAGUGGCGGACGAGUGAGUAACGCGUGGGUAACCUGCCUUAUACAGGGGGAUAACAACCAGAAAUGGUUGCUAAUACCGCAUAAGCGCACAGGACCGCAUGGUCCGGUGUGAAAAACUCCGGUGGUAUAAGAUGGACCCGCGUUGGAUUAGCUAGUUGGCAGGGUAACGGCCUACCAAGGCGACGAUCCAUAGCCGGCCUGAGAGGGUGAACGGCCACAUUGGGACUGAGACACGGCCCAGACUCCUACGGGAGGCAGCAUG